GCUGCGCGCGUUUCUGGCCCUGCCGGUGUCUUCGCCGGUUGAAAGCGCGUGUCUGCGUCGGGUUCCGUUGGAGUGCGUUCGGUGCGCCGCCGUGGGUCCGCGCUGCUUCCACCCAACUUCCUGUGAGAGUUUCUCUCCUGUCACAAUGGCAUGAUCUUGGCUUACUGCGACCUCUGCUUCCUGGGUUCAAGGAUUCUCCUGCCUCAGCCUCCCAAGUAGCUGGGAUUACAGACAUAAGGGUCUUGCUAUUUGCCCAAGCUGGUCUUGAACUCCUGAUCUCAAGUGAUCCACCCGCCUUGGCCCUUCAUGUGGAAAAUUAGAAACCAAAAUCCCCUGUGAAUCCAGCGCACUCGAGGUUCAUUCUCCACACCCAAGAAAGUGAAGACAAUGCUAUUUGCCUUGUGGCAUCGUUGUGAAGUUAAAGAAGACACCGAUUCUGCACGCACCAGUUCACAGACAGCGGGAAGCUGGGCCCCCACCAACUCUAAGGACAAUCACCAUCAGAUGCCCCACGAUCCUACUCUCAGGGUGUUCGUAUGCCAUAUGCCAUGUUCACAAAUCUGUAAAAAAAAAAGUUACAAUUAUGAAAUUCAAAGUUAACUAAAGGAGGACGUUUUCAUUAUCUUUGAAAUUUAACCCCCCAAAUCCAGAUAAUAAAGCAAGGAGAUGUCUUAUGGCCCAACA